GUUAUUUUACUGUAACGCUGCUUUUUCCAAGAUUCCUUGGGAUCCAGGGAGACACGGCCCCAAAUGGCUCUCUAAAUGACGACACCGCAGUGCAGCUGAAACUAAUCUGUGAGUGGGAAGCAGAAGAGCAUGAAAUUCCUUAGCUUUUAAGCCACUGAAUCCGAGUGAGCCUUCUGGACUGCGUUUGUUUAUCGUCUCAGGAGUGUGUGUGUGUCUGUCUGUCUCAGUAUGUGAGUCCACACCCUGCUCUCUCUUCCUGGUUUUGACCCUUGUUAGUGGUCUGCAUCCUGGUUUGAGGGGGGACCCCGCUGAUUAGGAAAGAGAGUAAGUGGAAGGAUUAAGUGUUCUCAGAGACCUCCUGAGAGGGCCCUGGUAACUGCACGUGGCGAAGACGCUCCUCGAAACUGAUCGCUUAGUUUGAAGUCUGUUUCAGAGCCAUCUGCAAGCUCAUCUAGAAGUGCGGGGGUGAGUGCACUCCAUCAAACCAGUCAGUCCUAAGGGAAAUCAACCCUGAAUACUUAUUGGAAGGACUAUGCUGAAGCUGAAGCUCCAGUACUUUGGCCACCUGAUGUGAAGAGUCAGCUAAUUAGAAAAGACCCUGAUGCUGGGAAAGAUUGAAGGUGGGAGGAGAAGGGGACGACAGAGGAUGAGAUGGUUGGAUGGCAUCACUGACUCAAUGGACAUGAGUUUGAGUAAACUCUGGGAGUUGGUGAUGGACAGGGAGGCCUGGUGUGCUGCGGUCCAUGGGGUCACAAAGAGUCGGACACGACUGAGUGACUGAACAACAACAGUUGUCUGUUGGUUAAGCUGAACUGGCUAUUUGGGUACUGAAGGAGAUCUCCCCUUGAAAAUGGCCAAAUGGGGCUCUCUUAUGUUGUAAAAACUGGUUUUUGCCUGUGCAGUGAGAAGUGGCUUUCUAAGAGGAACCUGCUUUUCUCCUCCUGUGCCUUUGAGCUGUACACAUUUUGACAGUUCCUGAGACUGAAGAGGAAAGAGGGACAGCAGGGAAACUGAGGUCUCUGUGUGGAUGUCUGUCACAGAGGCACGUCUUCACCGACAGAGAGUAUCAGAAUUAUGCAGCAAUGUGCAAACGAGCUGUGUGACUCGCUGAAAAGAAACUAAAGUGAAAGGGAAGUCGGUCAGUCGUGUCUGACUCUUUGUGACCCCAUGGACUGUAGCCAACCAGGCUUCUCAGUCCAUGGGUUUCUCCAGGCAAGAAGACUGGAGUGGGUUGCCAUUUCCUUCUCCAGGGGAUCUUCCUGACCCAGGGAUCGAUCCUGGGUCUCCAGCAUUGGAGGCAGAUGCUUUAACCUCUGAGCCACCCGGGAAGCCCUAAAAGAAAUUAAGUGCUUACUAAAAAUACAAAAGACACCUACCCAAAUGAAUUUCAGGUUCAUGUGAUCUGGGAAAUACUCAGUAUUAAAUAUCUGGUCUGAAAGUUUAAGCUUGUUAAUCUUAAUACAGACAUGUUUCAAGAGACAUCAACUAUAAUUUUAUUAUACUUAAAGUUAAUAAGAUCUUAUUAAUUCUGUUACACAAUUCAUGAGCAAGGAAAGUAACUUGAUUCAAUGACUUAACUUUAAGUUAAAUAUAAUUGAGAUAAGAGUUUUGGGAGUUGAGCUCUUUGGGAAUAACUGUUUUAGGAAAUCUACUUAAAAAAAGUCUCUCCAGAUUUUGGCAACUUGAAAGUUUUGUUAAGUUAAAUAAUGGGGAGUCACUGUCUGAAUUGCUAAUUGCUAAACAAGUCUAAGUUCACCCCCCUUUUUUAUGAGAGAAAAACUAAAUAUGUUUGGGUUUGUUAGAAACAUAUGACACCACACUGAGGACAGAAGUUAUUCGAUGAGAUGACGUGUGUUUCUGAAGACUGUAGAAUACAUAAGUUUUCCAAUCAGGAAGCCCUGGUAUGAUCACAAGUCCUUGCUUCUGUUUUUGCUGGAGAUCAGGGUUCUUAAGGGCUGUUGUUGUUUAGUUGCUCGGUCACCUCCGACUCUUUUGUGACCCCAUGGACUGUACCCGCCAGGCUCCUCUGUCCAUAGAUUUCUCCAGGCAAGAAUACUGGAGUGGUUGCCGUUUCCUUCUGCGGGGGAUCUUCCCCACCCAGGGAUCCAACACGCGUCUUCUGCAUCGGCAGUGAAGGAGGAAACAGACAGAGCUGGACUCCCAUCGUAGGCCAGGCUGCGAACAUUAGGCUACACGCAUGGUCACCCUCCCAAUGGACUCUGAACUUUGUGCUCGGUGUCUAUAGAAACAGCAUACCAAUGGAAAACCAGACCCCCGGAUAAAAGAGCCUCAGGACUUGUACUUGGACUCUCCUUUGCCUAAAAGAAUAUGCUAAUUAUCUCUGUAACAGAACAAAGUGGUAAAUUCCAUUAUAUUUAUCGGGAUAUGACCAUAGACCUAUUGAUAAAUAUCCACUGUUUAUCUAGUCUUGUGACACGUGAAUCAUAGGUUAACUUUGAUCAUAUCUCUCUUUUACCUUGUCCAGACUAGUUUCAAGGAAUUUGGGGAGGUGGGUUUGAGCAAGUACACUUAGGGUAUAUAAGGUUUUCACAAAAACUGGUCGGGGUCCUUGGCUAAGAGGAGACUCUGCCUUGGGCCCGCCGGUGUAAUAAACCACACUCCACUAUCUGCAUUGUCCUUCUGAGUGAGUUUGUUUCCCGGAACGCGUGGCUACAACAUUUGGUGCAUUGGCCGGGAAACUCCUCACUUUGAGGAGACAAGUCCCAUUUGGGACUACUCCGAGGCCUUGCGGCUUGAAUCUUCUAGAGGCGGGAAGGCGCCUCACCCUUCUAGAAGGAUUCUGCUUCUCAACGCCCGGACCUUUCACGUUAGCAGGUAGUGGAUGGCAGCAGGGGAACUGAGCGCUCAGGUGAGGAGGAACCCACCCAGCAGAGUGGAAGAGGGGGCCUAAUCACCCCCCUGGGAGGGACUGGAAGGGGCACAGACCCACAGGAGCCUGGAAUAGGCAGGCGGUGAUUGCUUGGUACACAGGUUGACGAGCGUGCUACUGUUUAGGAAGGAAAUUUGUGAAGGUCAUUUAGGAGGUGUGUCCACGCCGUUUCGGGGAAAAUUAUUACCAAGCAAUCGCUAGGGGAUAUUAGGAUAGGCAGGAGGUGGUGAUUGCUUGGUACACAGGUCAAUGAGUGUGCUAGGGCUUAGGAAGGGAAUUUGUGAAGGUCAUUUAGGAGGUGUGUCCACGCCGUCUCAGGGAAAAUUAUUACCAGUGACCGCCGGGAGAUUUUAGGAUAGGAAACUCGUCCUUGUAUGCCCGUAUUCUGCCUUCCCCGAGGAGGUGUCCCGUCUGCUGUGAAAUUCUUGACCCCCUCGGAAUUGUUAGGCUAGAAGGAGGGGGGAUACAUAAGUGAGUAUGAAUUGGCUUUUCCAGAGAUGGCCUGGGACAUGAGAUAUUUAACCCAUCUGUGUUUUCAUCCGCACCUGAUCAAGCCCACCAAGGCAGAAUGGACUUUAAGGGAGAAAGUCUUGGACCACGUGGUAUUCUGGUUCGGCUGUGCUGACUGGCAGGUGAAGACACGCCGAUCCCCCUUCUCCCUCUGGGAUCUGGCAGGAUUUGGACGGGGAUGACCUGACCCCUCUCCCAUACUGGAUAAUGACGCGCCUGCCUCCCAGUGCUCCACCUGGACCGGAGGCCGCCUUGAUGCCCAAUCCAGAGCCAAGUGAAGUUCCUGCAGCAGCCACUGCAUUUGCGCCAGCUCUCCCAGAGUUCGUAGAGCUGCCGUUUUGGCAGGCUCCGAUCCCGGUGACAGAAGCCUCUAGCCAAUACUUCCAGGAUCCGGCUCCAGCUGAACUGCCCAAGCUAUACCUGCCUCUCCCAGUGAGCACUGACAAGAAGGGGAGGGAGAUGUUGGAAUUAAGCAGAGACUGCGCUCUGCCACUCUGCCGGAGAGCCGGAGGGAACGAAAGAGAACAGACGAGAUGUGCAAUGCUAGCUGCUGCUCCGGGAAAGUCUAUCUCGGGCCCUCCGGAAAACCUCAUCUGCCUCAGGGACAGGACAGUCCUUCAACUGGUCCCAACGGAGGCCCUGUCCCCGUUACAGCCAAACCAGUGUGCCGGGUGCCAAGCUUUUGGCCACUGGAAGAAUGAAUGCCCUAAGGCAAGGAAGGAAGAGGAAGCUCCCGCAGUUGUGGGGCUUGCUGACUUGGAAAGUAAAUAGGGCUGCUGGGGCUCAGAGAUACCAGCUCCCCGAGAGCCCAUGGUAACCUUAAAAGUGGGGGACCAAAACAUUGACUUCAUGGUGGAUACAGGAGCAGAACUGUCGGUAGUAACAAAACCUGUGGCACCACUGUCCAAAAAGAGACUACCACUGUAACUGGGGUAUCGGGAGAAGAGAUGAUUAAAUCGUUUUGCCAGCCCAGAAAAUGUCAGAUGGGGGGGCGCACCAAGUGAUUCAUGAAUUCCUCUACAUUCCUGAGUGCCCAGUACCCCUGUUGGAAAGAGACUUGCUUUCCAAACUAGGAGCAGAAGUGGCUUUCUCCACUGAGGAGAGGCCCACCUUCCGGAUGGACACUAUGACUUAUUUGCUCUCUCUCAAUGCCACCCCAGGAUGAGUGGAGGUUGUAUGAGCCUCCGAAGGAAGAACCAGGUGGGCCAGAAGAGCAUGAGAGAGAGCUAACUCAAUUAUUCCCUGAGGUCUGGGCGGAAGACAACCCCGCCUUCCCCCAGGCUGGGUAAACAUCAAGCCCCAGUGGUAACAGAACUCAAACCAGGUACCAUCCUGGUUAGAAAGAGCCAGUACCCACUACCAAUAGAGGCCUGGGCCAGCAUACUACCCCACAUCAAUAGAUUGAAACAAGUGGGCAUUCUAGUAGAGUGCCAGUUGGCUUGGAAUACGCUGAUCCUGCCAGUCAAAAAGGAAGAAGGACAGGACUAUAGGCCUGUACAAGAUCUCAGGCUAGUCAACUAGGCUACUGUGACUUUACACCCCACUGUUCCAAACCCCUAUACCUUACUUAGCCUCUUCCUACCGAGGACUAAAGUUUGUACUCGCCUAGAUCUCAAGGAUGCCUUCUUCUGCGUACGCCUCGCCCCAGCGUCACAGCCCAUCUUUGCCUUUGAAUGGGAAGAUCCAGUCAGGGGCACCAAACAUCAGCUCACCUGGACUCCCCCACAAGGGUUUAAUAACUCCCCAGCCAUAUUUGGGGAAGCCUUGGCUUCUGGCCUGGACUCAUUCCAUCCGAAAGAGUAUGGAUGUUGGCUCCUACAUACGUGGAUGACCUGCUGCUGGCUGCCGAGACCAAGGAAAAAUGCUGGAAAGGGACAAAAGCUCUGCCCCAGCUGCUGAUGGAAGCAGGUUACCGGGUGUCGAAGGAGAAGGCCCAGAUCUGCAAGGAGGAGGUAAGGUAUCUGGGGUUUGUUUUAAAGAAGGACGCAAGGGUCCAGACCCUAGUUGGGUCCUGUAUACUGAUGGCACUAGCCUGAUAAAACAAGGACAACGGCUGUCAGGUUAGCCAAAGCGGAAGGGGCCAUCAAGACUGAAAAGGGAUGGUGGGAAUUGCCAAGUGGCAAAUUAUUGGCACCGGAGGAGCUGGCACACACUCUGGUAAGCCAAACACACCAAGCGACCCACCUAGGCAUGCUGCCUACUCACAGGUUAAUGCUGCCUCUCAGGUAUUCAGACAAAAACCUCCAGGUAUUCAGCGGAAAGGCAUGCUGCCCUUUGAACACCUGGGAGUGGACUUCACUGAAAUGAAACCUCACAGACACUACCGUUACCUGCUGGUCACGGUAUGUACAUUCUCGGGAUGGGUAGAAGCUUUUCCUACCUGGACUGAAAGGGCAUCAGAAGUAGCCCAGUGCCUGCUUAGGGAAAUAGUUCCCAGAUUUGGAUUUCCUACCAGCAUUGGAUCAGACAAUGGCCCAGCUUUUGUAGUUAUUUAGUACAACAAGCAAAACUUUAAACAUCAAAUGGAAACUGCACACUGCCCAGAGUUCUGAGAUGGUGGAAUGAACCAACCAGACACUUAAAGAGACUCUCCAAGUGGAUCAUAGAGACUGACUGCUUCUGGGUGGACUUGCUUCUGAUGGCUCUGCUCAGACUCAGGAUGACCCCACAGUCCCAAGGCUAUUCUCCAUACGAAAUACGAGAGGCCCCCUCCUAUAAAUAGGUGUCAACAAAUUUGCCUCAUGUAAGGGGGGAUAGGAUUUCGCAGCAGAUGGAACUGGGUAAGGUAAUAAAUCGGGUAACUAAGUUUGUACAAGAAAGGGUGCCUUCCCCCCUUGGGGAACAGAUUCAUGAGUUUACGCUUGGUGACCAAGUAUAGGUCAAAGACUGGAAACUUGAUUUACUAGCCCCUCAGUGGAAGGGGCUUAUACUGUUAUUCUAACUACCCCUACUGCAGUUAAAGUUGCAGGUAUUGCUCCUUGGAUCCAUCAUAUGAGGAUGAAGAGAACAUACCACGCAGACCCAGAAAAUGCUGAGUGGACUGCACAGCGGCCCAGCCUUAAGAAGAAGGAAAAGAAGAUCCCAGAUGAGGCCCUUGAGGAUGAAGCCGCAUAAUCAACUCCUGCUGCUUGGUCUCAUCAACGUGCACAUUACUACGCGGACUUCACAAUACCUCCAGCUAUUGGGGUCUCUGCUGCUGGCGUCUGAAGAACCCGCAACCGGAGGUGUGAGCUGAGUCUUAAACUUGGGGGCCUCACUGAGAACAGCCUGGGAGGCUGCUCUGAAAGGCUCCCUCAGGAUGCUGGACGUCCUGUGCCCCCAGAAGGCGGUGGCAUCUGUCAGUAUCAGCAGACUUCCUGUGCACACUGGCAGGUUCUUAUCAGUCCUGUUACCUCAGCCUGUUGAAGGAGGAGAUUUCAGACAAAACUCUGUUUUCCGGGACAGCACGGGAGAAACAAAUGGUGCAGCCCGCCCCUCCACGAGGUUCUCUCAGACAUGAACCACAGUGAGUGAGUAACCUAAAAUCAGAAUUGUCCGUCGGGCUUCCUUGAAGGUCAGUCCCAGAAGACAAAGGGUUUUCAUUGUCUGCUGCUUUCUGGGAGCCGGUGCUGGGCUGUUUGUUACACCUGUGGAGAGUUUUGGUGAGAGCAAGACCACCUCAGGAGAAGGCAGUGGGCUUGGGUAAUGUGUGUGAUGAGAGCUUAGAAAGGCCUUCACGGAGUGGGAGGCCGCGAUGGUGAGAGUGUGACCUGAGACCGUCCCUUCUGUGGUUGGACGCAGCAGUCCUUGGCUGCUGAAGCCGGCUCCUGGUGGCGACGUCUGGUUGCUCGGUAGGAACCGCACUGUCACUGGG
ensembl:lncRNA